AACUGAAUAUUGGCGGCCGCGCCCCUCUUUCACACAAAUUUUUUUUUUUUUUCAGAUGAGAAGACAAAAAUAGUUGCAUAUAACUUCUAAGGGCCUUUCCCCAUUUUCUUCUUAUUCAGUUCAAUCUCUUGCUGCUUUCAAAUUUCAUCUAUCAAUUUCCACAUUCCUCCAUCAACUCUCUUCAUUUCAAACCCUAAUUCACUACUUUCGUUAUCCAUAUCAUCAAUAAACUAAGUCACUGACAAUCGUGAAUUUUCAAACCCUAAUCAACGCAGAUUCGAUCUUCGAAAUUCAAUCAGUUUGGUUUGGGGAAUUGGAGAGACGAUGAGUGCUCAGAAGAAGAGGAAUUUUCAGAUAGAAGCUUUUAAACAUCGGGUCGUGGUGGAUCCGAAAUACGCAGAGAAGACUGGGAAGAUCUUGGAACAUGCGAUUCAGGAGAUAUACAAUCACAACGCUAGUGGCCUUAGUUUUGAAGAGCUUUACAGGAAUGCUUACAAUAUGGUUUUGCACAAAUUUGGGGAGAACCUGUACUCUCGACUUGUGUCGACUAUGACAUCACAUCUAAAGGAAAUAGCAAGAUCAAUUGAGACUUGGUUUUCAUUUGAUCCCACUGCCAAUUUGGGUCUUGAUGUAGCAUCAUGCAUUAUUACAAGGGCUCCAUUAGGACAAGAUGCUGAAGGAAAAACAAAAUAUGUCAUUCGCCCAUACAUUGAUCAAUUCUCAAGGUGCCUUUAUGUGGAGUACAAGAAGAAUGGGAUCGAUGUGCAGUGUCAGGUAUGCUUGUUUUUUGGAACCCCCUUCUUGCUACAUUGCCUUUCCUAGUUCAUGUUACUUUCGGACAAUAUGUCGCUAAGAUUUAUUGAAGAAAUUCUACUUUGUUCUUACUCUCCAUUGUUCAAAUGCCCAACAAUUGGAUCUGUGUAUAAUUCAGUAUUGCAGUUUAACUUGGUUCUAAAAUUUUCUAAUCUUAUUUGAAGUCAUAAAGUAACUUAGCAAGUAUAUAGAACAUUAAAAAAUUGUCAAGCCAUGGAUACAUUUUUAUUAUGCUUCUAUGACUUGAUUAAGAAAGUUCUAUGGUAUAAAUCUUCUUAUAAGAUUUGUCUCUGUAAGAUAACCAUUUUUAUAUUGUGAUGGUGAUAGAAAGCAGAACUUGUUUUCCUGUUCUUCUCCAUAGUCAAUGCAUUGGCUACUUGUUAUGAAACUAAUUUACCUGCCAAAGAAAAAAAAAAAAAUACAAUCCUCUUUUAAUUUUUCGUUGAACUUGGUUAUGUGCUAUGAAAUGAUCUGUUUAUUAUGAUUCUUAUGAUCGGUCCACAUUAUUCUUUUGGAAACUAAUAUUUUAAUUCACAAAACAAGAAGGAAAAAAAUGAGAAGAAAACAAUUUAUACAAAGCCAAUCUUGAAAGCUGCCCUUUCUUUUUCCAUGUCAGUGAGAACCACCUAGUUCACCUUGUUGGAUUGCUUUAUGUGUCUUUCCCCACCGACUUUCUUUCUCAGUUUAUAUGUGAUUUUACGCAUGUCAAGAACUGCAAGGUUCUUAUUUGAAUUAUGGUUUUGCUAGAAAACACAAGAACUACAGAUUUGAAAUAAGAAUAUUCUUAAAAAUUAUGUAUAUACCUCCUUGCUGUGCAUAUUU